AAUACAAGAAAAAAAUAAAAGAAAUUAUUCACAAAAAUUAAUUUUACAAAUUAAAAUAACUUACCUCCCCGGCAACGGCGCCAAAAACUUGUUGUGCAAAUUUUAUUGAACUCGCAAGUGCACGAAUCUAUUGUAGAAUAGAUUAAUGGAGACGAGUGUCGAUCCCACGAGGAGGUGGAUUUUAAUUAUAUGUAGAAUUAAUUUUGUAUGAGGGUGGUUGGAUUUGUGGUGAAAGUGACUUAGAUUAUCUUAAAAUUGGAAUUGAAAUGGCGAGAAUAAAUUGAAGAGAAAUCUAUUGAGAUGACGUACUUGAGUAUCUGGAUCCGUAUCAACAUGCAUCAUGGGCUAAAUAUUCCUUAUUAAUACCAAUUAAAUCAUGAGGGGGGAAUCCACACCUCAUGAACCACACUCUAAUCAAUAUGGUACUAAGGGCUUAUCGUGCCAAAUAAUAAUAACCUUGUACUAGAGAGCCGGUGUAACCAGGGCGGUAUCUAGACAAGAUUAGUAUUAUUUGUCGACGAGAAGUCAAAUCAUCCACAAAAAUUAGAGGGGAAGAGAAAGUAAAUUUACCAAAUAAAGCUCAUGACACAUGUUGAGACUUCACAUUCAACCCAAGCUUGAAAGAAAAUUAGCCACUCAUAAUUGAACUAGGGGCAAAAAGGGAAUUUAUUAAAAUUCAUAAAAAAUACAAGAUAGAGAAGGAAUUACAGAAAAUGGAUCCCAAAAAUGGAUUCAAAGAUAUCAAAUUAGGGGGGGAGGCCCCCUUUUUAUAGAUACAUGGAGUAAAUCAUGGCCAUCAGAUUAAAAACAGUUUGGACGCUCAGGAUUACGCCACGUCAUUAGUCAACAAUACGCGGUUUGACCACGCGGAUAAACAGUAACACAGUUUGACCCGAGUUGAACAGUGACGCAGUUUGGUUGAAAAUAAUCCUGUGCGAUGCAUGUACCGUACGCGAGAUUUUUGGUCCACUGAUAUGCUGCCACGUCACCAUCAAUAGUACAUAAAAAUUUUAGUCCAACAGGAUCGUGACACCUCAUCAGUCAAUGCCACAUCAUCGAUCAAUGCCACGUCAUCGAUCCGUCUAUGUGAACAGUGUCGUGAACAGUAACGUAGACAGUACCGUACACAUGAAUAGUACCGUACAUGUGAACAGUGCCAUUUUUCCUUUUAUGCUCCUCCUAAGGUUUUCGACCGUCCUGAGUUCAAAAGUGAUGUCCGUUUUUUUGUCUGAUCUCUCGUUUAUUAUGAAAUGACUAUGAUGUCCCUAAAAUACAUAAAAUACUUAAUUAAAAUAAAACACACGGAACUAAAUCAAAAGAAGGUUAAAUACAUAAAAGUAAGGGUGUUAGUAAAACUUAAAGUGUAAAAUGACGAUUUUCUCCUUUAUAAAUAUACAUUUUCUAACACUCAACACACCCCCCAACCAGCUUAUUGCUAGUCCUUAGCAAAUAAAGCGAAAACAAAAUUUAAAUCCAAAAUAAUAUAUAUAUAUUUUUAACACUCAUGUUUAUUCAAUUAGACUAAUGAUAGUAAUCAAAUAAAAGUAUAAGCAUUAUCUCAAUCUAAAGAAACAUCACACCCGCAUCAACCAUCCACAUGAAUCAGCCUAAUAGACUUUGUCAUAGCUACCUUCAAGAAUGACAUGUCAAACCUCAAAAUCUCACUGGAAGUAGUGACACUUUCACAAAGAAAUUAAACCCAAUAAAAAUAGUCACUCCAAUGAAUGAUAAUUGAGAGAAAAUAAAAAAAAAAAUGAUAUCACAUGCUCUCACCAAGAUGAAAGAAAUAUGUCCUUAGCUUAAAAAUAAUACGAUCUCAAGUCAAACAAGAAUGUUAGGCAACCCACUUUAUUUAUCUUUAUUUUUCCUUUUUUUUAUUAUUGUGCAUCACUACAUCUUUUUAGCCCAUAUAACUAGCUUCUACUUCAGACUAUAGUUCCCUAAAAUAAAAAAGGAUUUUUAUUAGGACGUAACGUAGGCUAGGGACAUGGUUAACAAAAAAGGGAAAUAAGGAAAAUAAAGUGUAUGUUUGAGAAAAAUGCAGAGGAAUUUUUUUUUUUUUUGGAAGUUGCAAGGUGGAUUUCGCCUAUUAUUGUUAUUUUGUUUUCUUCUUUUUUUUUGAAUUUUUUUUUGCUUAUGCUUGGCACAACGUCACUGAACAAAAUAAUUAUUUACAUUUUUCUCAAACAUAAAUAGGUGAUGGAACUUAUAAGACAUUGGGUAAUACUCCAAAUCGGAGUGGGUCAAGAUGAUAAGUUUAACAAAUAAAAGGCUUUUUUUUUAAAGGCUCAAAAUGGUUAACUAUGGAUAUUUCACAAAAGAGAUGGCUAGAAAGGCUCAAACGGAUCGAAAAUGGCCUUUCCAUCGUCUUUUAGGGCUCUAAAUAACCUUCAAUAUCUACUAGUUAGAUGGGCCUCCAAAUAUAGCAACACACAUUUUUUUUUCUUUUUUUUAAUUUUACAAUUUUUUUUAAGGGUUAACUCAAAAGAAAUCUAGAGAUCGUGUAUACAAUAAUAAACUGCUAAGUUGUAUAAAGAAUGAGCAAAACGGUUACUCUCCAAAAAAAAUAGUAGGCUCAAAAACUCACUUGGUACUUAUUAUGACAUGUUCAUUCCUUCAAGCAACUCAUAUUUGUCUCCGACGUCAACAUGUAAAGUAGCAAACAUAGUGUAACAUCACUUAAGACCAAAGAUAAUACAAAUACUAAAAUUUCAAAUUAAUCAUGUCAUCCAAUGUUAAAACAAAUCACAAAUUUUUUUUUAAACAACAUUCUACCCCCUAACCUAUUCUAAACAUGAAAGGAAAAUAUGCAUGCAGAAAUGUGAAAAUGAUGCAGAAAAAUUAAUUAGAAAAGUUACACUUAAAAUGAUAGAAAAAGAAAUUUUUUUUAUUUUUAACUAAGAAGAUGCGUUUCUAGAGGCACUACACUCUAUAUUCAGCCAUAUUCGACUCAAAUAUUUGAAAAUGUAUAUUUAUAAAGGAGAAAUUAAAAAGAAGAAGAAAAUGUCUGAAUUUUUUUUGAAUUUUUUUUAUUAUUUUGUUUUUGAAUUUUUUUUUCAAACGAUGAAAAUGCGUUUCUAGAGUCACUACACUCCAUAUUCAGCCAUUUUCAACACAAAAAGUUAGCAAUAGUUAGUUUCUACAACAAAAAAUUAGUAAAAACUUAACCAAGAUUCCACAAUUGUCGACUAUUCCCUCCCCCCAACCAGAACGAAACAUUGUCCUCAAUGUUUUAAAGGAAAGAAGUAUUGUUUAGAAGACAUCACCUGGGUGGUGCAACACAGAAGAAAAUAUUUACAAGUGGAGAGUUAAGUCUAAAUUGUACUUCUUACUGCGGCUAUUACCAUCAUUAUUUGGACGCUCCAACACAAAGGUCCAGGGGUCUGGCUCCGGUUUAUAAGCUUGUAACAGAUCAAAUAGCUCAUUAGCAGUGUGAGCACAAAUAAAAAAUUUUUUUCGCAUUGGAAAGAAUGAAAUAGUUUUUUAUUGCAUGGUUAAGAAAUGCGAUAAAGCCAUCAUAAAAGUUAUUGACAUUUAACAAACCGAUGGGUUUCUGGUGAAUGUGCAGAUGGGCCCAAGAUGCUAGUGUGAUAAGUGCCUAGCACACUAGGUUUUAGUUCAAAACUCCUAGCAGCUACAUUUGAGUAUCUUAUGCAUGAUGUGCUCAAAUUAGCUAAAGGACUGAAGUAGUCCUUAAAUGGCCUCUCCUGUGGUUGCAAAUCCAUUUUAUUUUUAACUUGUUUGUGUGUGCGAAGUGUUUUCUCAAGUUCAAGGUCUAUAGGUUCAAGAUUAGGUAAUAAUGACCUUCGACCAUGCAUGCAAAACAAAUAAAAUAAAAAUAAAGAUGGGAACAAAACAAAUAAAAAUAAAGAAGAGGGAGAAAUUACAAUGCUAACCUUAUUGCGCUGUUACAACCUUACUAUAAAAACACACUAAAAAAAAUACAUGAAAAUAAAUUAACUGAAAAUAAAUUAAUAAAAAAAAUUACAAAGAAAAAUAACUUAAAAAUUAAAUUGCAGAAUUGUAAAGAAUAGAGAAAGAAAAGAAUAGAUUAAUGGAGACGAGUGUCGAUACAACAAGGAGGUGGAUUUUAAUUAUAUGUAGAAUUAAUUUUGUAUGAGGGUGGUUGGAUUUGUGGUGAAAGUGACUUAGAUUAUCUUAAAAUUGGAAUUGAAAUGGCGAGAAUAAAUUCUAAAAUUAGAAUUGAAAUGGCGAGAAUAAAUUGAAGAGAAAUCUAUUGAGAUGACGUACUUGGGUAUCUGGAUCCGUAUCAACAUGCAUCAUGGGAUAAAUAUUCCUUAUUAAUGCCAAUUAAAUCAUGAGGGGGGAAUCCACACCUCAUGAACCACACUCUAAUCAAUAUGGUGCUAAAGGCUUAUCGUGCCAAAUAAUAAUAAUCUUGUACUAGAGAGCCGGUGUAACCAGGGCGGUAUCUAGACAAGAUUAUUACUAUUUGUUGACGAAAAGUCAAAACAUCCACCUCAAUUAGAGGGGAAGAGAAAAUAAAUUUACCAAAUAAAGCCCAUGGCACAUGUGGAGACUUCAUCUUCAACCCAAGCUUGAAAAAAAAUUAGCUACUCAUAAUUGAACUAGGAGUAAAAUGAAAAUUUAUUAAAAUACGUAGAAAAUACAAGAUGGAGAAGGAAUUACAGAAAAUGGAGUCUAAAAGAUGGAUUCAGGGAUGCCAAAUUAAGGGGGAAGAGCCUCCCUUUUAUAGAUACAUAGAGUAAAUCAUGGCCAUCGGAUUAAAAAUAUUUCGGACGCUCAAGAUUACGCCACGUCAUCAGUCAACAGUACGCGGUUUGACCACGCGGAUGAACAGUAACACGGUUUGACCCGGGUUGAAUAGUGACGCGGUUUGGUUGAAAAUAAUCUUAUGUGAUGCAUGUACUGUACGCGAGAUUUUUGAUCCACUAAUAUGAUGCCACGUCACCAUCAACAGUACAUAAGAAUUUUAGUCCAACAGGAUCGUGACACCUUAUCAGUCAAUGCCAUAUCAUCGGUCAAUGCCACAUCAUCGGUCAAUGCCACAUCAUCGAUCCGUCUAUGUGAACAGUGUCGUGAACAGUGUCGUGAACAGUACCGUACACGUGAAUAGUACCGUAUAUGUGAACAGUGCCAUUUUUCCUUUUAUGCUCCUCCUAAGGUUUUCGACCGUUCUGAGUUCAAAAGUGAUGUCCGUUUUGCCGUCUGAUCUCUCGUUUAUUGUGAAAUGACUAUGAUGCCCCUAAAAUACAUAAAAUACUUAAUUAAAAUAAAACACACGGAAUUAAAUCAAAAGAAGGUUAAAUACAUAAAAGUAAGGGUGUUAGUAAAAAUUGAAAUGUAAAAUGACAAUUUUCUCCUUUAUAAAUAUAUAUUUUCUAACACUCAACAAGAAACAGUCAAUUUCAUUAAGUGAGUUUAAUCACUCAAUUACUCUUUUCCCAAUGAGUUUGCCUUUGUGUUUGAUUUAAGAAAUUUCCUUAUUGCAUUUUAUUUGUUGCAUUUUUAAUUAGAUUCGUGCGCAUAUGAGUAUAAUAAAAUUUGCACAGUAGAAAAAAAUCACAACAAUUGUUAUUAGAGCAUGGUUUGAGAAUUUAUGAUUUUUUUAUUAAUAUUUGUAAUAACCCUCUUUUAAUUUUCAAUUGUCCUUAUGGGCAUAUGCAAUUUGGAUUAUUAUUCCGCAUAUAAAUAAGGUUGAAAGAAAAUUAUUGGUACAAGAAUUUCUUCUAUAUAUUAUUUUGUUACAAAAUAGCAAAAAAGAAGGGGGGCAGCCCAAGAUGGGUUUUGGUUGUUGGCUGCGCAAUACCUAAAGAUGAAACUAGGGUUUCUUUUAGAUUUUUUCAUGAGGCACCCUAAGGUUUCUUUGAUUUAUGUUUCUGACCAAAGUUUAGAAUUUUGUUGCAUCUAAGUCCGACAAAAUUUGUUGGUGGCCAAAGGAAAAUAUGUGAUUUAGAUAUUAAGAGUGACUUUUCCAUAAAGAUAAUUAAUGUCCCUUAAGGUAUUAUAAAAUCUGAAAUUUGGUA
rnacentral:lncRNA from 1 species